UACGUAGGGGGCAAGCGUUGUCCGGAAUUAUUGGGCGUAAAGAGCGCGUAGGCGGUCCGAUAAGUCGGCUGUGAAAGUCAGGGGUUCAACCCUUGAAAGCCGGCCGAUACUGUCGGACUAGAGUCCGGAAGAGGCAAGUGGAAUUCCCGGUGUAGCGGUGAAAUGCGCAGAUAUCGGGAGGAACACCAAUGGCGAAGGCAGCUUGCUGGGACGGUACUGACGCUGAGGCGCGAAAGCGUGGGGAGCAAACAGG
rnacentral:rRNA from 1 species